UACGAAGGGGGCGAGCGUUGUUCGGAAUCAUUGGGCGUAAAGGGCGCGUAGGCGGGCUUGUAAGUCGGUUGUGAAAUCCCUGGGCUUAACCUGGGAAUUGCAUUCGAAACUGCAAGUCUUUGAGUUCUCGAGAGGAUGGUGGAAUUCCUGGAGUAGUAGUGAAAUACGUAGAUAUCAGGAGGAACACCGGAGGCGAAGGCGGCCAUCUGGCGAGACACUGACGCUAAGGCGCGAAAAGCGUGGGUAGCAAACAGG
rnacentral:rRNA from 1 species